rnacentral:rRNA from 1 species
GGGCCCGCACAAGCGGUGGAGCAUGUGGUUCAAUUCGACGCAACGCGAAGAACCUUACCUGGGUUGGAACCCUCCAGAAGUCCGCAGAGAUGUGGAUGUGCCCGCAAGGGAAUUGGAUGUCCAGGUGCUGCAUGGCUGUCGUCAGCUCGUGUCGUGAGAUGUUGGGUUAAGUCCCGCAACGAGCGCAACCCUUGUCGUUAGUUGCCAGCGGUUCGGCCGGGCACUCUAACGAGACUGCCGGUGUUAAACCGGAGGAAGGUGGGGAUGACGUCAAGUCCUCAUGGCCCUUAUGCCCAGGGCUACACACGUGCUACAAUGACCGGUACAAAGGGUCGCAAACCCGUGAGGGUGAGCCAAUCCCAAAAAACCGGCCUCAGUUCAGAUUGAAGUCUGCAACUCGACUUCAUGAAGUCGGAAUCGCUAGUAAUCCCUGAUCAGCAGGCAGGGGUGAAUACGUUCCCGGGCCUU